UUUUAUUAUCCAACUUGUAUUAAAAGGGAUGAAAUGAUGAGAUUCAGAACAAUCGAAGGUUCUACUGAAAGCAUAGGUCACGACUGGUCUGUUUAUUUUGUUUGUAAAGAAUUCAGGUUUUGCGAAGAAAAAACAUUCCGAACUAAUGUCAGAUCAUGUACCGAAGAAGAAGUUGAAACUUCUCUUUGUUGUGAAACAUGUAUUUGGCAAAGGUCUAUUUUAUGUUUUGAAAACCUCUGUUUGUUAUGAACAGAUGUUAGAAAAUAAAACAGUGGUUGAUAUAUCUGUUGACUUUGGUCAACAGAUGGAUGAAAACAGAUGGUUGAAACCACUGUUGGGAUAAAAUCAAUGUUUUGUGGAGAAAACAGUGGUUGAAACCACUGUUGGGUUAAAACAGUGGUUUGAAACCAUUGUUGGGUUAAAACGGUGGUUUGAAACCACUGUUGGGUUAAAACAGUGUUUUGUAGAGAAACCAGAUGUUUGAAACCACUGUUUGGUUAAAACGGUGGUUUGACUGUGGUCGAAUAAUACUGUUUCUUUAAUCCCUCACGUUUAAUUUAAAACCAUUGUAUCGAAUAAUACUCUACCAUGGUUUUAAGUUGAUUUACAGGUCUUGAACGAGUGCUCGGAAGUAGAGACUUGGUUGAGAAAGUAGCAGCAACUUUAAGACACUUCCAAAGCACACUGAACCCGUUCUUCUGUCAUUUGAUAUUAGAAAGAAAGCAGAAACACUCCAUAGGUAUAUUCUCAACUUAAACCAUAUAGCAGUAACACGCAUGAGGACAUUAUAUCUUUGUGUAGUUUUCCAAAGGAAUGGAACAACAGUUGAUGAUAUUUUUUUUUAUUUUUAUCAGUUUUUUUUUUUGUAGUAUUUAUCUUUGACUUUUUUUUAGGCAAACCUAAUGAUGAUUGACUUUUUGUAAUUUGAAAAAAAGAACGUGAAAGGUUUGUGAUUUCUACUAAAAAGCAAACCCAAUGAUGAUUGACUUUUUGUUCCACAUGUGGUAGUAGCCGAUACAUAUUCAAUCACAUUAAAUAAAGUUGUAGUUGUAGAAACCGCCGGCGAGAAUGUGAAGCAGGUGUGUGAGUGUCUACUCGGUAAAACUAGCUGUAGAAACCACCUCGACAACAUAGUCUUAGGUUAGUUUACAUAUUUGUAGUAUACAGAUAAUUAGAUACUGCAUAAUACAUCACACUCAUAAGUCAUAAGUUCUCAUUAGUUAUUUAAAAAGUCAUUUUUAGCUAAAAAAUAUAUCUACAUGACAGUGGCUAUUCAUGUUGAUUUGAGUUUGAGAACUUUAUGAUGAAUCUAUUUAUUCCUUCCAUAAAAUACAUUUUACUAACCACUGCCAGUUACUUGCUGUCGUAAACCACUGUUAACAGCAUCCAAACUUCCUACAAUGGUGGAGAUCGAGGAGUUUUUCGCAGUAGAGGAAAAAAAAAGAACAAAAAUGGUUCUCAGACAAGUACAACUUUGAUGUGUGAAUGAUGUACAACAAAUUCGUCCUAUAUAUUUUAUUUGUUCUUUUUCAAUUUAAUUAAUUUACAGAAAAUACAACAAAUUCAUCCUAUAUAUUAAGUUACCCUGGAGGCGGCAACUAGAAACCGCCACAACCGCAGUCAAAAUUGAUUCGGUCCGGUAGGUCAGAGGGUGUCUGAGGAAGGAGCCAUCGUUGGGGCAGAAGGAUUUAAAUCGGCAAGUGGAAGAUUUUUUAAAAAAGUUAACAAGGGUAUGAGAUUACAGCGGCAAGAACUUUGUGUGUAUAGUGGAUAAUGUUCCAAAAGAAGUAUGUUUUUUCCUAUUUUCUUUUUCGAUUUUGAUUUCCUGUUCUUAUUCUGAAUUAACCAAUUUAUGUUAGAUAUAUUCUUCAGACUUGUGCCCAUGUGAUCAAAUCAUAUAUGAGGACUUUUAUCACGCACACCAAGUGUUUGAUGAUAUGUUAAGGAGAGGAUAUCAUCCAGAUGGUGUGACUUGCACAAAACUGAUAAAAGUGUACAUGGUGUUCAUGAAAAGUGGGCAAGGAUAGAGAAUCAAGGGAAGAUGGUGAUGAGAGUCACUGACAUUUUUGGUAUUUUCAAGCAAAUUGAGAGAAACUUUCACAUUAGCUCACUCAAUUUUUUUAUGUUGUGAAAACAAAUUAGUUAAUACACUAAAAAUAUAGUAACCCAAUCAUGUUUUUUCGGGUAUUCUGAAUAGCAAUCAACAACCCUUUACAUGCCGCUACAGGUGGAUGAGGAUUAAGACCUACUCCAGGAACCAGUUCUCGAACAUGAUGCUUCUGGUCCUUUAUUGUUCUCAGUUUGGGAACUCGUGUUGAGUGGAACUCGCCGAGCUUGGAACACAUAUCGUAUGACAUGGUGGCUGAAUACUUCUCUCUCCUAGGAGCAUUCGAGUCUGAACUAGAGUUGUCUACCCGACAACCUGAGCCAUUUCAUGAGCAAAUUCGAAUUUAAAACUUAGGGGCAUCAUUUGAUUUGUUGGAUUUUAAUCCAACUGGAUUAGCUCAUUUUGGUAGCACAUAAAUGAUCACAACUUCGUAAAUAAUAAUCAUAUAGUUUGUUGGAUUUUAAUUCAACAUCUUGAAUUUAAAACAUAGGGACAUC